UCCCUGGUGGCUCAGACAGUAGAGAGUCUGCCUCCAAAGUGGAAGAUCUGGGUUCGAUCCCUGGGUGGGGAA
rnacentral:tRNA from 1 species